rnacentral:rRNA from 1 species
UACGUAGGGGUCUAGCGUUGUCCGGAAUUAUUGGGCGUAAAGAGCGUGUAGGCGGCCAGGUAGGUCUGCUGUGAAAACUCGAGGCUCAACCUCGAGACGUCGGCGGAAACCAUCUGGCUAGAGUCCGGAAGAGGAGAGUGGAAUUCCUGGUGUAGCGGUGAAAUGCGCAGAUAUCAGGAAGAACACCGGUGGCGAAGGCGGUUCUCUGGGCCUUACCUGACGCUGAGGAGCGAAAGCGUGGGGAGCGAACAGG